UCUCCGUUGGUGGACCAGCGGAGGGAUCAUUACAGGACUCGCAAGACUCCUUCACCCUGUGAACCUCACUACGAGCACGUUGCUUCGGCGGGUGUCCCGGCGGGGGUUUUCCCUCGCCGGGGCGCACAGCCCGCCGGCAGCCUACUAUACUCUGUCUCUUUGCGUUGGCAUCUCGAGAAAAAACAAACAAGUUAAAACUUUCAACAACGGAUCUCUUGGUUCUG
rnacentral:misc_RNA from 1 species